UACGUAGGUGGCAAGCGUUGUCCGGAUUUACUGGGCGUAAAGAGCGCGCAGGCGGUCGCUCAAGUCGCGUGUGAAAGCCCCCGGCUCAACUGGGAGGGUCACGCGAUACUGAUCGACUGGAAGGCAGGAGAGGGUAGUGGAAUUCCGGUGUAGUGGUGAAAUGCGUAGAUAUCGGGAGGAACACCAGUGGCGAAGGCGACUACCUGGCCUGUUCUGACGCUGAGGCGCGAAAGCUAGGGGAGCAAACGGGG
rnacentral:rRNA from 1 species